rnacentral:rRNA from 1 species
AUUGAACGCUGGCGGCAGGCCUAACACAUGCAAGUCGAGCGGAGCGGCGGACGGGGGAGUAAUGCCAAGGAAUCAGCCUGGUAGUGGGGGAUAACGUCCGGAAACGGGCGCUAAUACCGCAUACUAUCAGAUGAGCCGAGGUCGGAUUAGCUAGUUGGUGGGGUAAAGGACUACCAAGGCGACGGCCCGUAACUGGUUUGAGCGGAUGAUCAGUCACACUGGAACUGAGACACGGUCUAGCGUCCGACGGGAGGAAGCAGUGGGGAAUAUUGGACAAUGGGCGAAAGCCUGAUCCAGCCAGGCCGCGUGUGUGAAGAAGGUCUUCGGAUUGUAAAGCACUUUAAGUUGGGAGGCGUUACCAACAGAAUAAGCACCGGCUAACUUCGUGCCAGCAGCCGCGGUAAUAC